rnacentral:lncRNA from 1 species
UCUUUAUUAAUAAAAUUAAUUAAUUAAUGUUUUAUCUGUGUCUGAGUGCAUGUAAUUCAAAAGACCCAAUAAUGCUGGAUUUUAGCGCAAUGCCCGGUAGUUCGAGCUCAACGAAUUCCCCAGUGUCCGUGAUGAGGCGACUCAACAGUUUCUAACAUAAAAUUUCCAUGUAUCCACAUCAAUGAGCUGAAGCAAGUGAUUUCCCAACAUCUUCAAGUGUCCCUGUGCCGUCUCGAAAGUCCCAAAGCAAUUCAAUUGCUUCUCAAACCUAGUAUCCGUUUGGUAUCAACUUCCCAAUGUUUAAGUCCUCCAACCGACCGUGGCAACAUUCAAUUUCCUCUGUUUUGGAACAAAUCCAGCACUCAGCUCUUCAAUUAAAGCCACAUCUCAUUCAUGGCUUCCGUCUCCCCUGUUUCAAGAACAUUCAAGCCGUAUUCAACAUCCGAUUGUUUCAUCUUCAAAUUCCCUCCCCACAAUUCCAAACUUCC